rnacentral:misc_RNA from 1 species
CGCGCGCUCAGUCGGCUCCGUGCCUUGGUGAGAGUAGGUUUGUGCGCACCGCUCUCCCGUCUGCCUUCCCACGGUGCAUCUCACAACUCUCCCUUUCCCUCUGCCACUGAAAACUUUUGACAGUAAUGAAGGAAAAUUAAGUGGCGUGAUCGUAGUGGGGCAUUUCCAAGUGCACACCGCCCCGGUGCACGGCUGUGAGGAAAGGAACAGCGUGGAAAAGAGUUGAAAUUACCACGGAGAGCACAGCAACGCGGCAGAGCAGACUCACCACAGUACCGCCGCACUGCUUCACCGCCUCCCUGCGUCAGGACACGAUACACGAGGCCCGCUAUGCAUGUUUACACCGGGCACUGCAAUACUCAGGCACUGUAAUCACCAGGCACUGUAAUACUCACUGUAACACUCAGGCGCUUUUGUUGAGGCGCCCUGGAGCAGAGAUAAGCCAUAACACACAAAGAAGGUUGACAGCUGAAUACGCCUCAUUGAAUCUCGCCUUACGAGACUAUAAAGAGGAAAGACUUGUGGAUAUUGUGUCAACUAAGUCUAGGAAGGUACUGUCAGUCAUAUUUAAUAGGAAAAGACACGUGAAUGAAUAGAAACUGAGGAUUUUUCUAGUUUUUUUUGACAAUAGAAACAUAAUUUACUAGACAAGAUGAGGCCAAGCUAUGAACGGAACUAAGAAGAUUGAAAUAGCUAAAGAUAAUUCCUAAGCUGUGACAGAAAAUACAGAAUGGUGAAGAUUGGAGGGUGUGUGGCCAUGUGGGCGUGUGUGUGCGUGUGGGCGUGCGUGUGGGUGUGCGUGGCAGGAUUCAACGUUGACCUGGCCAGCCAUGUCACCCACCACAGUGACCAGCGGGAGUCAAUGUUCGGCUUCGCGGUAGCCCAGCACAUGGAUGGAGGCACGGCUAGGAUGUUGGUGGGAGCGCCCUUGUAUGAUACGGAGCAGAGGGCGAUUGGUGUAAGGAAGGCCGGGGCUGUGCUGAGCUGUGACGCCAAUGUGCCCGACAGUUGCAGCUAUGUUCCCUUCGACACUAAUGGUAACAACGUGCACCCUCUGGGACAGCAGCUGGACAACAAGACGGGCCAGUGGUUCGGCGCCACCGUCAGGAGCUCCGGGCCAGAUGGCGUGGUGGUGGCAUGUGCUCCCCGCUACGUUUGGUUCACGGAGAAUCUGAAGCGGCGUGAACCCGUUGGAACAUGUUACGUGGCCAGGAACGCUCUCACUGACUUCCAGGAGUUCUCGCCCUGCAGGACACGUCAUUGGGGUUACCAUCGCCAGGGGUCGUGCCAAGCUGGGUUCGACGCCAUCAUUACUGAGAACGGCAAGAGGUUGUACAUCGGAGCUCCUGGCGCCUUCUACUGGCAAGGCCAAUGUUGGACAACGAAACUGGAAGGACAGAUUCACUCUUACAACCUGGUGACCCGUAAUGAGUAUGAGAAGACGUGGGAGGGCCCGGCCGAGGGAGACGAUCAGUACCUUGGCUAUUCCGUGGCUGUGGGAGACUUCAAUGGAGAUGGCACUGAGGACGUGGCUCUCGGCGUUCCCAAGGGCCUCAACUAUACCGGCAAGGCAGUGCAGGAUGACCCAAGGAGAGAGGAAGAGGAAGAGGAAGACACAGAAGAAGAAGAAGAAGAAGAGAACACGAGAACAGGAAAAAGAAGAAAAAGAAAAGGCAAGAAAAACAAACGGAUGACAACAAGAAAAAACACAAAAACACAAAAAGACAACAGAAGAAGAAGAGGAAGAAGAAAAGAGGAACAGAAAAGGAAGACAAGGAAGCAGAAACGAGAGGUAAGAAAGAAGAGAGAAGAAGAAAAAGAAGAAGAAGAGGAAAAAUUAACAUGGCAGGGUUGGUUUGAAAAGACAGGAUUUCUUUUCCAACCAGCGAAGGAGAAAGGAUACCACAGUUUGUCCUUGCCAGAUUCCUUCACCCCAGAGCGCCCUUCCUACGGUGCCUCCUCCCUGGCUGUUGGUGCCUUCAGCGGGGGUGCCAGCAGGAGGGAUGUGGCACUAGGCACUCCCAGGGGCCCAGACGAAACGGGGGCACUCACUGGGAAGGUGGCGCUCUUCACGGAACACCUGCGACCCAUACAGAACAUCACAGGGUACCAGCUGGGCUCUUACUUCGGAUACUGUCUGGCGGUGCUGGAUUUCAACAGGGACGGUCUGGACGACAUAGUGAUUGGCGCUCCUCUCUACACAGACUACGAGGACAGAGAGAUGAAGUUUGAAGUGGGAAGAGUCCACGUGGUGCUUCAAAACAGACUGCACCGGUUCCGCCAGGUGGUGACCUUCACAGGGGAGGUGAGCCAGGGUCGCUUUGGGCUCUCCCUCACCAGCCUGGGGGACAUCAACCAGGAUGGCAUUCAAGACAUGGCAGUGGGUGCCCCCUAUGGUGGUCCUGACGGCAGUGGUGCAGUGUUCAUCUACCACGGCUUUGAGAUCAGGACUGGCCAACUCAUCUCAGACGAACUCAAGAAGCCUAGCCAGGUAAUACUAGCAAGGGAUGUGGGUCUGGGCGUGCCGAUGGCGUCCUUUGGCUGGGCUCUGUCUGGCGGCCUGGAUGUGGAUAGCAACCAGUACCCAGACCUGCUGGUGGGCGCCACUCAUGCCAAUGCUGCCGUGGUGCUCAAGUCGCGUCCCAUAGUGUCACUGCUGAAUCACACACUGACCUUUCUGUCCAAGGAGGAGAUAGACAUUGAAGUGACCUCGGCCGCCAACAGGGAGAAGGAUUGCAGGACCAGGUCGGGUCGCCUUGUGUCCUGCGUUGACCUGGAGUUCUGUGUGGGGUAUGGGGGUCUUGCUGUGCCUGCAGAGAUAGAGCUGGAGGUGAAGUACCAGCUGGAUGGGGAAGUGAAGGACCCGCGGCUGUUCUUCAUGGUGACGGACACACAGGGGCUGAGUGAGUCACUGCGGCUGGUGCGUGGCAGGCCCAGGUGCAGGGUUCACAAGACCUAUGUGUCGCCUUCCGUGGCAGACAAGCUGACUCCCCUGGGUGCCGAGGUGAGGCUGGCACUGGUGGAGGGCCAAAGUGGUGCCCUCAGAUUGCCACGCUCCAUUAGGCCAGUCUUGAACCAGAAGCAGAAUCUGAGUGUGACCGGUGCCAUUGCCAUCAAGAACAACUGUGGUCCGGAUGACAUGUGUGUGCCCGACCUGGAGCUCAAUGUGCACGUGCCAGACACCUUCACAUUUGGCAAAAAGGAGCAGCUUGAGGUGGUGGUGCGCGUGAUGAACCAUGGUGAGGACGCAUACCAGGCCAGCGUGUUCCUCCCUGAGCCGCCCGGCCUGCAGUACAACAUCUUUGAGGCGCGGGACAACACCUCCGUUACUUGCUCCCCUCGCUACACUGCCGGCACCACCACCCUCGUCUGUGACAUCGGCAACCCCCUCAAGAUGCUGACCGGGGUCCACUUUGCCGUGUUUUUCCACCCCCAACCCUCCACGCUGGUAGACGACCGCAUACAAUUUGACGUGGUUGCCAACAGCACCAUUGCCGAGGCCGCCCACACCAGCGAUGACAACUUUGUGCAGAAGAUUGUGAUGCUGGGUGCUGAUGUUGACCUGGUGCUGUACGGCUCCUCGACACCAGAGAACAUUGCCUACAACAAGAGUCUGUACCAGUCUGAGAGUUACCGCCAUGAGGAAGACCUUGGCCCGGAGGUGCUGCACAUCUUUGCCGUGUCCAACAAUGGCGCCUCCAGACUUACCCAGGCAGAGUUUGUCAUCCUGUGGCCACUCCAGGCACUCAAUGGUGAGAGUUACCUUCUGUACUUGUUGGAGCAGCCUCAUGUCACUGGGCCAGGCUCCUGUGCCUUUGUUCCUGACACCAACCCAAUGCAGCUGGAGCUGAACAAAGAGACCUCCACAACAAGACUUCUUAAACUUCAAAGCAAGGAGGAAGAGGAGAAGGAGAGGAGGGAGGAGGAGAAGAGGAUAACACUGGAGGAAGAAGGGAGGAUACUAGUGGAGGAGGAGAGGACUUACACUGAAUCUGGAGGAGGAGGAGGAGGAGGAGAGGUAGUGGAGGAGGAAGAUGGAGAGAGGAAGGAAACAUCUGGUGGAGGAAAGAAGGAGACUUAUUAUGAGGAAACUUCCUUUACAACUUAUAGUACUGGAGGAGGAGGAGGAGGAGGUGGUGGAGGAAGAAGAGGAGGAGAAGGAGGAGGAGCUAACUACUCUUCCUCCUCAUCGACUUACUCCUCUUCUUCUUCAUCAAGCAAAACAUUCACUUCCUCCUCUUCUUCUUCAUCAAGUUAUGGUUCCUCUUCCUCUGGUUCUUCCUCCUCCUCCUCCUCUUACGGGUAUUCUGGUCAUCACAGCAGGAGGACGAGAGAAGUAGACGGCUCGCAGGAGUGGGAAGAUACGAUCAGUAACUGCGGCAUGACUCACUGCAUCAGGAUCCGGUGCACGGCCGGCCCUCUGGAGGAGCAGGACAUCGUGUUUGUGUAUGUGCGGUCGCGCCUUGUGCUGGCCACACUGCAGGAGGCGUCCCUGUACCCAUACGAUGACGUCAGCAUUUCCAGUCGGAUGGUGGCCCGUGUCACCUCUCUGCCCUACGGUGUCAACCCACGCGACCUUGAGGUGAAGACAAAGGAUGUCACCACUCCUGUGUCCCCUGCCAAGUCCCUGGAUGAGGCCCCUGCCGUCCCCUGGUGGGUCAUCAUUCUGGCAGUGCUCGCUGGCAUACUCAUUCUGCUGCUCAUCAUACUCAUACUGUGGAAGCUUGGUUUCUUCAAGAGGCACCAACCAAAGUCUUCCUCUGCCUCUUAAAACACACACUCUUCCUGCUGCUGCCUCUGCCCCUCACUCUUGUGCCGCAUUGUGGUUACUUCAAGCGUCACCGGCCAGAGCAGAGUGGCAAUGCAGCGGAUGACGCCCAGCCACUCAACCCACCCAAGAGUCGCAACGGCCACCCUUGCAACCCAUACACCCGACCAAUGUACCCCGGCGACGAGGC